UGAUGAUGAUGAUGAUGAUGAUGAUGAUGGUGGUGGUGAUGAUGAUGAUGAUGAUGAUAUUCAUCAUGGCCACUACCAUUGUCAUUGUCAUCGUCGUUG
rnacentral:pre_miRNA from 1 species